CCUACGGGAGGCAGCAAAGUGGGGAAGUAUUGCGCAAUGGGGGAAACCCGUGACGCAGCGAUGCCGCGUGGGUGAAUAAGGCCUUCGGGUUGUAAAGCCCUUUCAGUGGGGAAGAUAAUGACGGUACCCACAGAAGAAGCCCCGGCUAACUCCGUGCCAGCAGCCGCGGUAAUACGGAGGGGGCGAGCGUUGUUCGGAAUUAUUGGGCGUAAAGGGCGCGUAGGCGGUCUAUCAAGUCAGGAGUGAAAGCCUCAGGCUCAACCUGGGAACUGCUUUUGAAACUGGUAGACUAGAGUCCGGCAGAGGGUGGUGGAAUUCCCCGUGUAGAGGUGAAAUUCGUAGAUAUGGGGAGGAAGACCGGAGGCGAAGGCGGCCACCUGGACCGGUACUGACGCUGAGGCGCGAAAGCGUGGGUAGCAAACAGGAUUAGAUACCCCUGUAGUC
rnacentral:rRNA from 1 species